GACGGUGAGCGAAAGGUACAUUGGAUCUCCUAGCAGAAAAUGUGCACUUCCAAGCAGGAUGGAUGUAUCGGGUUCCGUGAUCCGGUGGCAUUCAACCAGGCCCUACUGGCAAAACAAGCCUGGCGAGUGCUGCAAUGCCCGGAGGCUUUGGUGGCGAGAGUGCUCAAGGUGCGUUACUUCAAAGACGAUUCCAUCCUGAGUGCGACGUGCCCUUUGACAUCCUCAUACACUUACAUGAGUAUUCUGCACGGGAGAGAC
rnacentral:rRNA from 1 species